UUUCCGUAGGUGAACCUGCGGAAGGAUCAUCAACAAAAUUCAAAAAUUCAAAACAAAAAACAACACCAAUUUCAUUCCAAAAUUAUAUUGGAAUGUUUUUUUAAUGGGGAUGUGGAGAUUUCUAAUUUUUUUAAUUAGAUUUUUCUCAUGCCCCAUCAUUUAAAACUCCUAAAAAAACAAAUUGAAAAAUUAUUCCAAAAAAUUUUAAAAUAUAAAAAUAGAGACAACUUUUAACAAUGGAUCUCUUGGCUCUC
rnacentral:misc_RNA from 1 species